AUAAAUCUGCCCAAUGAUUUCAUUUAAUGGCUGCAGUAUAACUGACUGUACAAAGGUAGCAUAAUAAAUUGUCUUUUAAUUAAAGACUCGUAUGAAAGAAUUAAUGAAAUAUAUACUGUCUCAAUUUUAUUCUACAAAAUUAAAUUUUAAGUUAAAAUUCUUAAAUUUUUUUAUGGGACGAUAAGACCCUAUAGAAUUUUAUAUUUAUAUAUAUAAAAAUUCGUUCUUUUAUUUAAAAUUUUAAUAUAUAUAAAUAUUUAACUGGGAGGGUUAUUAAAUUUGAAAAACUUUAAUUUAAAAAAAUCUUAAAUUAUAGAAAUAAUUAAAGAUCUUUUAUUAAAAAAUAAAAAAAUAAAUUACCUUAGGGAUAACAGCGUAAUAUCUUUUGAAAGGCCAAAUUUAUAAAGAUGAUUGCGACCUCGAUGUUGAAUUAAGAUAUAAUUUAAAUGCAGGAGUUUAAAAAUUAAGUCUG
rnacentral:rRNA from 1 species